UCCUGUGAGGGCCGCUGUCACGCGUGGCUGUCGCUGCUGCUUGCGGCGUUGUGCCCAGGGGAAGGUUCAUGUGCUUGCCUAAAUCAGACACACGGGAUUGGCGAACCUUCCGGCUGCUAGGAGCAGCGGCAAGAGGAGGAGUGUUGCCAGCAUGAGGACGAGCAAGGGAUGGCGAUGCUUGCAACCUAUGGCUGAACUGGAGAAUGGAGCAGCUUUAAUAGUGGAGGCUAAGAAGAACCCUCUUUCAAGGAUAUCUACCCAGGUGGCUAGACCACUCUUAGGAGGCGCCAAAAUACUGUUUUCCUCUUUCCCAUGGAAGAAUUUGAACUGA
rnacentral:lncRNA from 1 species